GGGUGCCUACGGGGGGCAGCAGUAGGGAAUCUUCCACAAUGGGCGAAAGCCUGAUGGAGCAACGCCGCGUGGGUGAAGAAGGUCUUCGGAUCGUAAAACCCUGUUGUUAGAGAAGAAAGUGCGUGAGAGUAACUGUUCACGUUUCGACGGUAUCUAACCAGAAAGCCACGGCUAACUACGUGCCAGCAGCCGCGGUAAUACGUAGGUGGCAAGCGUUAUCCGGAUUUAUUGGGCGUAAAGGGAACGCAGCGGGCCUUUUACUUCUGCUGUGCAAGCCUUCUGCUUAACCG
rnacentral:rRNA from 1 species